GACGAACGCUGGCGGCGUGCCUAAUACAUGCAAGUAGAACGCUGAAGGAGGAGCUUGCUUCUCCGGAUGAGUUGCGAACGGGUGAGUAACGCGUAGGUAACCUGCCUGGUAGCGGGGGAUAACUAUUGGAAACGAUAGCUAAUACCGCAUAACAGUAGAUGUUGCAUGACAUUUGCUUAAAAGGUGCAAUUGCAUCACUACCAGAUGGACCUGCGUUGUAUUAGCUAGUUGGUGGGGUAACGGCUCACCAAGGCGACGAUACAUAGCCGACCUGAGAGGGUGAUCGGCCACACUGGGACUGAGACACGGCCCAGACUCCUACGGGAGGCAGCAGUAGGGAAUCUUCGGCAAUGGACGGAAGUCUGACCGAGCAACGCCGCGUGAGUGAAGAAGGUUUUCGGAUCGUAAAGCUCGGUUGUAAGAGAAGAACGAGUGUGAGAGUGGAAAGUUCACACUGUGACGGUAGCUUACCAGAAAGGGACGGCUAACUACGUG
rnacentral:rRNA from 1 species